AUACGUAACAAGGUUUAUUUUAUCAUACGUCUUCAAUUGAAACACGUGAUUUAUAAGUCGAUCUACAUAGUUUGCUAGGAUUGUUCUUGCACAACGAUCGUUUCAAAACGCUAAUAAAGAGGAUGUUCGUGCUAUUCGCUAGAGAAAAACCACCAUACGAGUAUAGAAAUCGAAGUGAAGGUGAGAUUGCAGUAACAAUCGCUGCCGGAUAAACAUUUUCGUAAUGACUCGUGCAUACUCCUUACGUAUUGAUAUUUCGUUUGCAUCAAUAUCUAGUGAAUUGAUAACGUUAUCGUGUUUCACUUUAAUCGUGCAAUACAUUUUACUCCAUUGUCGUUUUCUAAUCUUCUAAACGCACGUCGGAUAAAAAUACGAAAGAAUUACAAGAUAAUUUUCAUCUACACGAACAUACAAUUAUGAUAUAGUUAUAUAGUAUUAGUUAAAAUCCUCCACGAUACUGUUUUUCGAAUAUAAAAUGAAAGAUAUAUUUGGAAAUUUGUACACACCAUUGAACACGAGGAAAGAGCAGGAAGAACAAUUUUCCUUGCAGAUAAGUCGCAUUAUAUCAUUCAGUAUUAGGUAUUUCUAGAUCAUGUAAUUCGUGUUAAUAUUGAAUAAUUGUAAUUUUCGAAUAACUAUCAGAAUAGUUACUUAAUAGGUGGUUAAUUUACUUAUAAUUAUCCACUCAAUAUGCUCAUAACGAAAUAAAAUGACUUAUUCUUAGCUUUCAGUGAAAUAUGUACUUUAUUCUGCGCUUAAAAUACGCGCAAUUUAUACUUAAUAUCUCACAUUGAAACUAAAAUUAAUUAUACUACAUUUAGUAUAACUAUAAUAUAAAUGAUAUUAGAUUAAAUUAUUAUAUUUUUCAGCAUUGGAUAGUAGAGUAUUUGCAUGGAAAAGUUGCAAAGUAUAUCGACUUUCAAAAAUUAAUUUAAUCGGAUUAAAGGAGUCGAAUAAAUUAUGUAAAAUGCUAAGAAGCUGCGUAACAGAUCAUUGGGUGUCCGAACAAAUGGUAAUGUCGAUUGUAUUACAACCAACGCCACGCCCUAGAAUUAUAUUUACGGCCUCUAACUUUGCAUGAGGAUGUAUUAUUUAUUCUAUACAUUGCAAAAAUCUCUUAGAAUUCUUAGAACAAGCUCCAUAUUUGUUUUAAUACUAUAAUUUGCCAAGUGAAGAUAGACGAAACGAUAGCACUUUUCUUUAGACAGAAAAGAACACGACGACGAACAAAAAUAAAAUGAAUCGAAGGACUAGCAACAAACAAAAUCCUUGUUCAAUCUUUUAACUUAACUCGGAACCACGAUUGAACGAUAAUUUUGAAAACUCUGUCCCGAAAAGUAUAUGAAGAGAGUGGUGUCAGAAGUAACGAGAAAAUUCCGUAUUUCUGGAUAAAUUGGUAAAAGAAGAAGAAGAAGGUAGAAUGAGGUAUCUUGGGUUCACUGUAUCGAACGAUAGAGUCGUUUCAUCCGGAUGAUUUGCCAAUUACUUUCAAUAGCCAAUCGUUACUGGAGAAAGAUUUUAAAUGUAUUUUUCUAUAUUCUCGGAAGAUUCAAGAGAACCUCGCUGGACACCUGAUAAUCAUCGAUCUCGAUCGCAAUCGUGUUAUCGUUAAUUACGAAUAAAGUACGGUAUAACUUAGGGAAAAGUAUCGUGUAAUGUGCAAUUGUCGAUGAAAAAUAGUAGGAUGCAAUGUGACAUGACUAAUAGAAUAAAACAUACUUCGAUCUACAGCGAUACGUAUACAUAAAUCAUACAAUAAGGAUAAGAUGAAGUAUAUAUCCUUUGAAAAACUCGACGAAGAAACCUACCACGACAAGAUAAAGUCUACUUUGAAGACUUUCAAGGAAGUCCAUAAAUGGAACCUCGGUACAGACAAAAUGUAGGAACGACGUUUUCUUCGGACAUCUACACGAAAGAACGCUGUAUUCAAUAUUAUAAUAGGAAAUGUUUACUAUUUAUUCCAACGAAGAUACUUUAAUUACCACGAAUCUAUCGCAGUAUCUUCGUUGUUGAACGAUGCUUGUCAAAGUCAAAGAUAGAUCGUUGGAAGGUUUAACUUUAACGAGCAUUUACGAGUGGGUCAAUGCUUCUUAUGUUUACAGGGAUGUCUGCUGCAAAGAAAUGCUCAUUAUAACUGGUAAUGUGAUAAUCAGAUUGCGACAACGACGCUCACAAAAAAUUUUCUCGAAGACAUAAGUAAGCAUCGUGAUUAAUU